UACGUAGGGGGCAAGCGUUGUCCGGAUUUAUUGGGCGUAAAGAGCGUGUAGGCGGCUUUGCAAGUCCGUUGUGAAAACUCGAGGCUCAACCUCGAGACGCCGGUGGAAACUGCAAAGCUAGAGUCCGGAAGAGGAGAGUGGAAUUCCUGGUGUAGCGGUGAAAUGCGCAGAUAUCAGGAGGAACACCGGUGGCGAAGGCGGAUCUCUGGGCCGUAACUGACGCUGAGGAGCGAAAGCAUGGGGAGCGAACAGG
rnacentral:rRNA from 1 species